UACAGAGGUGGCAAGCGUUGUUCGGAAUUACUGGGCGUAAAGGGCGCGUAGGCGGUCAGGUCAGUCCCGUGUGAAAUCCCUCGGCUCAACUGAGGAACUGCACGGGAAACUGCCUGGCUUGAGUUCGGGAGAGGGAAGCGGAAUUCCGGGUGUAGCGGUGAAAUGACGUAGAUAUCCGGAGGAACACCGGUGGCGAAGGCGGCUUCCUGGACCGACACUGACGCUGAUGCGCGAAAGCUAGGGGAGCGAACGGG
rnacentral:rRNA from 1 species